UACGUAGGGUGCAAGCGUUAAUCGGAAUUACUGGGCGUAAAGCGUGCGCAGGCGGUUGUGCAAGACAGAUGUGAAAUCCCCGGGCUCAACCUGGGAACUGCAUUUGUGACUGCAUGGCUAGAGUACGGUAGAGGGGGAUGGAAUUCCGCGUGUAGCAGUGAAAUGCGUAGAUAUGCGGAGGAACACCGAUGGCGAAGGCAGUCCCCUGGGCCUGUACUGACGCUCAUGCACGAAAGCGUGGGGAGCAAACAGG
rnacentral:rRNA from 1 species